AGCAGCACAUGUCGAUGAUAAUAAACCUGAUUCGAUGGGUUAAAUACAAGCAGGCACUUUCCACCGAGGUUGGGCAAGACUGGAACCAGAGGUCAUGGAUUAAGGAUGAAAGGUGGGGAUGUUGGUCACUGGGACUUGUUGCCCUAAGCAGUAAGAUGCCUGCUGCCUGAGUGGUGAGCCAAGGGCUCCCUCUGCUGGUUAACAGGAGCAAUGUGUCAAAAGAGCGACAUCCAUCAUUACGGACCCCCAUCACCCAGGACAUGCCCUCUUCUCAUGGCUAUCAUCAGGGAGGAGGUGCAGGAGCCUGAAGACCCACACUCGACGAUUCAGGAACAGCUUCUUCGCCUCCACCAUCAGAUUUCUGAAUGGACAGUGAACCCAUUGACACUACCUCAGUAUAUUUUGCACUAUUUAUUUAAUUUAAUUAUUUUAUAUAUAUAUAUAUAUAUAUGUAUACACUUACUGUAAUUUACAGUUUUUAUUAUUAUGUAUUGCAAUAUAGUUUUGCUGCAAAAACAGCAAAUUUCACGAUGUAUCCUGGUGAUAUUAAACCUGAUUCUGAUUCUAAAAGUACUUUGAACUUUGUCUUUCCUGAUUCAGGAACAGGCAGAGCAUUAAAUCUGCGUCUAUUCCCUUUAAUUUAAUAAAGAAAAAAUUGACACACUGUUCAAGACAAAGUGAUAAAAUCUCUUUAUUCGCGAGACACCAAUCAACGUAUCCACAAUCACCUUACGUUUGAGUCGUACCAUAUUUCAAAGAUGCAAGCUUUGUGCAAUUAAUUUCUUCAGUGUCACAAGAGUUUACAUUAAAGUCACUUACGAAAAUGUCGAGGCAUUGAUUUGAUUUACGAUACGAUACAGAGGUACAAAAGCAGCUGUCUGCAGUGCACAGAGCCCAAUGCAUAGGCCUGGUGAGCUAACACAAGCACUAAAAAAUGGUGCGUGAGCUGUCUUUUUCUUGGGCAGAAGCAAGCAAAAAGUGAUGAGGUGGGAAUGUUUCUCUUAAAGUGGUUAAAAAAAAACAGCAAAUAACCCAUCUGUACUCCCUCCCUCAGCAAAGCACAGCAUUCCUGACUGAAUGGGAGGCAAGGCUCUUGUGUAACAAAAUGGCCUCCUCGUGUUCCUGUACCACAAGCUCAAGGGCAAAAUGACCUCACAGCUCAACAGAAGAAGGGAACGAGAAGACUUUGAAUCUUUACAGUUACAUUCGUUGAUCGCCGGGGCGGGGUUACCCCAGGCAGUGUGCAGAACAAGAAGCUGACUGUUUGGGGUUGAGGGACAGACUGGUUUCAAUGGGAUCGUCUGUUUAGCACUUUGGGAUUGUAGCUAAGGGUUAAGGAACUGGUUGCUAAGGGCCAUGGGAUGGUUGCUAUUGGUCAAGGGUCUGGUUGCUAAGGGGUACGAGACUGAUUGCUUCGGAUCACUUCGUGGUUGCUAAUGGUCAGGGGACUGGUUACUUGCGGCUAUGGAAUGGAUGCUAAAGGUCAAGAUGUUGGCUGUGUAACUAACUGCAUGGGAUUGUAGCUAAGGGUCAAGGGACUAGCUGCUAAGGGCCUUGGAAUGGUUGCUAUUGGUCAAGGGUCUGGUUGCUAAGGGAUAUGAGACGGAUCAUGAGAUGGUUCUAAGGAUCGAGUGACUGGUUGGUGAGGGCCAUGAGACUGGUUACUAAGAGCCAUGGAUGGAUGCUAAUGGUCAAGGGUCUGGUUGCUAAGGGCUACAAAACUUGGGCCCUCUCCCUAGGGGAGUGGAGAAGAACAUUUGUACAU